rnacentral:lncRNA from 1 species
CUCUGAUAUGAUUUAGGAUCAAGCCCGACAAAGGCGAGUGCGAGACGAGACCCGUUGAUAGUCGAUAACGGACCAAUUGCGUGAUCAAGGGUAAAGCAAGUGAAACAAGCGAUGGGAUUGUUCGUUCAAGAAACCAUUGAUGGAACCAUGUUCGAGACUCAAAAUGGAGCAACUUUCAUGUUCGGGUCGAAAACCGAAUCAAUUUGGAUCAAUUUAAUAUCGAAGGCCGAAUACGGAAAAAAUGAUAGCCUAUGCGACCACAUAGGCUUAGCAGGCUUGCGAUCAUAUAAAGGCAUACCGAAACUCGAGAUGGAUUUUUAGUUGAACAAUGCGACCGCAUGGAAAUACACUAUGAGGUCGCAUAUGCCAAAAUUUUGGCGAAUUUUAUAAUUUUGGCAAUUUUUUAUAUUUUGUUAGUUUUUGAUUCUUUUCCAUAUUUUGGGGAUUAUAAUCGACUUUUGCACGAUUUUUACCUAAUUUUUAGGUUU